UAAAAACUCAAUAUAGUGAAUGAGUUUCUGAAAUGUGGUGUCAAAAUUCUGAACUCUCGGAAGCAGUUAGAACAACCGGGGGACGAAACACUUUAAACAGAAAAUGGUGAAAUGAGCUGUACCAGAUACUGCAGUUCUUGCUUUUAUUCCAACUCAACUUACCAACACUUAGAACAAUUAUUAAAAAAGGUGUGCUUAUUUUUAAAGGAAGUUAGACCAUAUCACAGUGUUCUACACAAUCAGCUUCACAAACAGCUAAAUUUCUAGAGCUGAGAUCGACUAUACAAGCGUUAAAGCAACUUUCAGACAUCG